GACAGAGGUGCCAAGCGUUUAGGCGGAAUCACUGGGCUUAAAGCGUGUGUAGGCGGACUUCUAAGUGCCUUGUGAAAUCCCACGGCUCAACCGUGGAACUGCUGGGCAUACUGGGAGUCUUGGGCCAUUCAGGGGCAACUGGAACAAGCGGUGGAGCGGUGAAAUGCGUAGAUAUCGCUUGGAACGCCGAAGGUGAAAACAGGUUGCUGGGGAUGUGCCGACGCUGAGACACGAAAGCCCAGGGGAGGCAAACGGG
rnacentral:rRNA from 1 species